rnacentral:rRNA from 1 species
CAACUUUUAACAACGGAUCUCUUGGCUCUCGCAUCGAUGAAGAACGCAGCGAAAUGCGAUACGUAAUGUGAAUUGCAGAAUUCAGUGAAUCAUCGAAUCUUUGAACGCACCUUGCGCUCCUUGGUAUUCCGAGGAGCACGCCUGUUCGAGUGUCGUG